rnacentral:rRNA from 1 species
GAUGAACGCUAGCGGCAGGCCUAAUACAUGCAAGCCAAGGGCUGUUUGGUGUAGCAAUACAUCAAACAACCGGCGGACGGGUGCGUAACGCGUAUGCAACCUACCCUAUACAGGAGGAUAGCCCUCGGAAACGAGGAUUAAUACUCCAUAAGAUUGCUUAGCGGCAUCUUUAAGCAAUUAAAGCCGCUAGGCGGUAGAGGAUGGGCGUGCGUCCGAUUAGCUAGUUGGUGAGGUAAUGGCUCACCAAGGCGAUGAUGGGUAGGGGGCCUGAGAGGAAGAUCGGCCACAUUGGGACUGAGAUCAGGCCCAGACUCCUACGGGAGGCAGAAGUGGGGAAUAUUGCACAAUGGGCGGAAGCCGGAUGCAGGAACGCCGCGUGCGGGAUGACGGCCUUCGGGUUGUAAACCGCUUUCGCCUGUGACGAAGCGUGAGUGACGGUAAUGGGUAAAGAAGCACCGGCUAACUACGUG